AAUUGCAUUAUUAACUCUUUAUUCAUACUAUGAAAGUUGGAUGUGCCUUAAAUGCUAUUUCGAAUAUGAAUUUUUAUUCAUAAGGUAUUUAUUGAGUUUCGAUGACCCUAGUCCCUCAAUGUGAUGCCUAAGUGACCCUAAAUGAAUUUUGAACACUUCUUUCAUUUUUGAAUGUUGGAUGAUGCCUUAAAUGUAAUUUCAACAAUGACUUUUAUUCAUAAGGCAUUAAUUGAAAUUUGAUGACCUUAGUCCCUACAAGAGAUGAAAUAUUUUUUGAUAAUAUGAAAUAUAUUAUUAUUGUGAGAAUGCCUCGGUGACCCUGAAUGAAAUUGCAUUAUUAACUCUUUAUUUAUACUAAGAAAGUUGGAUGUGCCUUAAAUGCUAUUUCGAAUAUGAAUUUUUAUUCAUAAGGUAUUUUAUUGAGUUUCGAUUACCCUAGUCCCUCAAUGUGAUGCCUAAGUGACCCUAAAUGGAUUUUGAACACUUCUUUCAUUUUUGAAAGUUGGAUGAUGCCUUAAAUGUAAUUUCAACCAUGACUUUUAUUCAUAAGGCAUUAAUUGAAAUUUGAUGACCUUUAGUCCCUACAAGAGAUGAAAUAUUUUUUGAUAAUAUGAAAUAUAUUAUUGUUGUGAGAAUGCCUCGGUGACCCUGAAUAAAAUUGCAUUAUUAACUCUUUAUUCAUACUAUGAAAGUUGGAUGUGCCUUAAAUGCUA